UGUCUAGUUUGCUCUGGGCCUGGAAA
rnacentral:misc_RNA from 1 species